CGGGCCUAAGCUGGCAGGUGGACAUCCCUACAGGGGUCCCAGACUGCGAGACAGCGCAGGCCAGGAUGAGGGACCUCCCCACCCCCAGUGCAUGAAUUUCAUGCACUGGGCCUCUAGUAAGUUAUAAUAAAGCAUAUAAACUCCCAAUUUUACUAAUUAGAUGAGAACAUUCAUCUUAUGUGAUGGAAAUUAUAAGAUCUUUAACAUCUUACAUGCACUUACUAUGCCUCAGCUGGUUAAGGCAACAUUUAGUCAGGUCGAGAUUUAAUUAAAAGUGGGCAUUAAAAAAAAAAAAAGUGGGGCAUUAACUUCAUGCUACUCAUGGUCACAGAUCACAGUGAUAAUCACAACCAACCAAUUGUUGGUGAUCCUAAUUGGGGGAGAAUCCGUAAUAGUGUCCUCAGAGUCAAAGGGCAGCCUGUGGUCUUACCGUUUUCAUUAGGCACUUCCAUUGGGAAAAAUAGAAUUUAGAAACCAACUGUUAACAGCUCACGGACCUCUGGUUUGUAUGAAUUUAGCUAACAACUAAAAGUGAUUCUAAGGAAGACGAGUGCCUGAACAGCGUGGGACUAUUUUUCCCCCUUUAGAACCUUUGGUUGUGAAGCUAUAUUUAGUGAGAUUUGGGUGACAAAAGUUAGUCUGUGCUGCCAACUCUGCCAGGUAAUAAACAACAGUAAUUGUAGUGUGGACUAUUAGUGUAACCCAACAGGAGUGAAGUGUUUCCAGUGGAGUUCAGUCUUCGGUGUCAUGAUCACUUAAUCUGACAAAUGAUUCGAUUAAGACCAUGAUACAACUCCCUAAUACUCAAACCUGACUUUUAUUAUUCAGUGAUAGGCUUUCAUAGAAACACCUGUAUUCUCUUCUACCAGUAAUUAAGCAAAAUACAUGUUUUUAAUUUUUUUCUCUUGAAAUUGAGUCAUAAAAAUAGUUCCUCCAAAUUGGUGCAUAGAUUAAGAUCUAAGUGUACAAGGAAACCCUUAGCUCCUCAACAGAACUAAUUCUCAAGGUUGGUGAAGCAGGGUGAAGGUUAGCUCAAAGAGGUGCAGUUUGGAGAUUUCUCGGCCCAGCUAUGAAUCCAGUGGUAAGUCUGAGUGACAAAGGCCAUGACUGCUUCUGAGGGAGACGUUUCCCUCUAUAGCUUCCAGAAGAUUUGGAGCUUGGAUUUACCAAAGGAGCAGCAGACAGCAUGCUCUCAUUGUACCAGCGCUUAGCAUAUCUGUCAGCAAGUUCUCCAAUUGAACUUCAUUCCAUCUUAUUAAUUGCAGCAUUCAUUUAUGAGACAAUGUAGGGCCUACCCUUCUGUAUAGCUAAUAGCCCUGAGCUGUUGAUUAGCCUUAUCACAUGCUCAUCAACUGAACUUACUGUCUAAAAACUGAUUUAUACACUAAACCAGUUCAUACUGUUCUUUCCUCUCCUUUGAAUUAGUGUAAUGUAACUUCUUGAAAUAUGAUGCUUAAUUUGUUAUGAACUUCCUGCAGUCCUUGCUUAAAUGUUCCAUUUUUUCCUGCUUAAUUUUUUGCAACCACUAUGACCAAAAAGUGAGUUAUUAAAGGUUCCAUAAAUCGCAA